GGCCUUGUAGCUCAGCUGAUAGAGCGUACGUUGUAGAAAAUCGCAGGCGGCGUCCAUGCGUGAGUUUGAAUCCCACCGAGGUUA
rnacentral:tRNA from 1 species